rnacentral:rRNA from 1 species
AUUGAACGCUGGCGGCAGGCCUAACACAUGCAAGUCGAGCGGAUGAAGGGAGCUUGCUCCUGGAUUCAGCGGCGGACGGGUGAGUAAUGCCUAGGAAUCUGCCUGGUAGUGGGGGAUAACGUCCGGAAACGGGCGCUAAUACCGCAUACGUCCUGAGGGAGAAAGUGGGGGAUCUUCGGACCUCACGCUAUCAGAUGAGCCUAGGUCGGAUUAGCUAGUUGGUGGGGUAAGGCCUACCAAGGCGACGAUCCGUAACUGGUCUGAGAGGAUGAUCAGUCACACUGGAACUGAGACACGGUCCAGACUCCUACGGGAGGCAGCAGUGGGGAAUAUUGGACAAUGGGCGAAAGCCUGAUCCAGCCAUGCCGCGUGUGUGAAGAAGGUCUUCGGAUUGUAAAGCACUUUAAGUUGGGAGGAAGGGCAGUAAGUUAAUACCUUGCUGUUUUGACGUUACCAACAGAAUAAGCACCGGCUAACUUCGU